AUGACCGUGACGCUCAAGGAUGUCUCGUUGAUCACCGGCCUUGCUAUCGACGGGAGGCCUCUCUGUAUGAGCACCGAUUCUGAUGGGUGGCGCGAGCAGAUGAUUGCUCUUAUCGGUAUGGCUCCUACCGAGGCUGAGGCUGAUGUAGAGGAGGGAGAAGAUAAGAAGAAGAGGGAAAGGAAAGCAGCCGGAGUUGCUUUCAUGUGGAUUCAAAAUAACUUUGCGACGUGCCCUUCGGAUGCCACUGAUGAUGUGAUCCAGACACAUGCUCGUGUGUAUAUGUGGUACAUUGUGUCGAGGACUUUGUUUCCUGACUCCACUGGCAAGAACGCUCCAUGGAUGUGGCUGAAGGCGUUGACCAUCUUCGAUAGCAAAUGGAGCUAG
rnacentral:rRNA from 1 species